UUUCAGGCGGGUAUCCUCGGCCCUACAUCCUUCAUACAAUGGAGUAACUGCGACCAUCUCCAAUUGAUCCAGCUUGGCUUUCUCUCGGGCGGCAGCUCUUGCGUUAUCCGUCUGCUUGAGAAGCAGCUCUUGAAUAUGAGGGUCCUGCACCCAGGCCAUCGAUGGUCCAUCGUCGUCUGCUCCGGCAUCUUCAUCUUCAUGAUCAUGCCCUUCGUCUGCUCCGGCAUCUUCCUCAUCAUCAUGUCCGGCAUCUUCUACAUGAUGACUGUGUCCUGGAGAUUCUUCGUCUUCUCGCCCGCCCUCGCCGCGGUUGUCUUGCUCAUGCCCUUCCUCAUUUCUUUCCCG
rnacentral:lncRNA from 1 species